UUGACCUCGAAUCAGGUAGGGA
rnacentral:rRNA from 2 species